CCUACGGGGCGCUGCAGUGGGGAAUAUUGGACAAUGGGCGAAAGCCUGAUCCAGCCAUGCCGCGUGUGUGAAGAAGGCCUUCGGGUUGUAAAGCACUUUCAGUGGGGAAGAAAGCCUUGGGGCUAAUACCCUCGAGGAAGGACAUCACCCACAGAAGAAGCACCGGCUAACUCCGUGCCAGCAGCCGCGGUAAUACGGAGGGUGCGAGCGUUAAUCGGAAUUACUGGGCGUAAAGCGCGCGUAGGCGGUCUGAUAAGCCGGUUGUGAAAGCCCCGGGCUCAACCUGGGAACGGCAUCCGGAACUGUCAGGCUAGAGUGCAGGAGAGGAAGGUAGAAUUCCCGGUGUAGCGGUGAAAUGCGUAGAGAUCGGGAGGAAUACCAGUGGCGAAGGCGGCCUUCUGGACUGACACUGACGCUGAGGUGCGAAAGCGUGGGUAGCAAACAGGAUUAGAUACCCGAGUAGC
rnacentral:rRNA from 1 species